AUGGACCCGGCUGAGAUUUUGAACGUCAGAUUUCAUAUAGGGGGGCAAUUUGUUCGAAUUGGUCCUUCUCUGGACUAUGUUGGGGGAGAUGUGGCCUACUCUGAGAUUGAGAGGGACAAGUUGUCCUUGCAGGAGGUCAAAGGUUUUCUUGCAGAUCAUUUGCCAGUAAAGGAAAGCAUGAAGUUUUAUUUUCUUAUGCCUGGCAGAGACUUGAUUAAUGGGCUGUUGUUUUUACAUGAUGAUGUUGGUUGCAUGAGUAUGUCAGAUAAUACAACUGAUGGUGGAGUUGCAGAAAUUUUUGUGGAGUACAAUGGGGAACAGGAUGAAGAAGGAGAGCUGGAAAGUGGCUCUAAUUUUCAAGAUGAAAUUCAGGAUCACAUUGACAGUGGGAGUGAAGAAGAUAUGCCUACUGUGAUGACAGCUGAAGAAAUGCAAGUGGAACAGCACAAUGACAAUGUAAAUGAAGAUUUACUACAGCAAGUCCUUGUCCCCAAUGCAAUGGUGUUAUUACUACAGUCAUAA
rnacentral:rRNA from 1 species